AAAGUCGUAACAAGGUAACCGUAGGUGAACCUGCGGUUGGAUCAUUACCAUGAAAAAGCUUGGGGGUGAGGGAUAUCAAAAUCAUUUUGCUAAGUUCUCCCCCCUUCUGUGAUAUUUCCUUUGAUUCUGGGUAUUGUUUUGAUUUUUACCUUAAUCUACCAUUUUGGCUUGAUUUCCUUGCUGGAAGUCAGAUCAGAAUAGGGAUGGAUAGGGUAAGCUUUCAAUUACCCAAAAUCGGGGAAGUAGACAGACUUUAUUGUGAACACUUUUUGUGAACUGUUUGUCUCUGGCGGUGGGGUAGAAUCCAUUCUAUCUGUCAGAUUAUGAAUUAAUUCUUAAUCCGUGGGCAAGCCGUCAAUCAAUGACUCUACACAGAAUAUUAAUUAUAGUCUGAUUUUAAAUUUUUAUAUAUAAAAUAUAUACAACUUUUGGCAACGGAUCUCUUGGCUCUU
rnacentral:misc_RNA from 1 species